rnacentral:rRNA from 1 species
UACGUAGGUGACAAGCGUUGUCCGGAUUUACUGGGCGUAAAGAGCGCGCAGGCGGUCGUUCAAGUCGAGUGUGAAAGCCCCCGGCUCAACUGGGGAGGGUCACUCGAUACUGAUCGACUCGAAGGCAGGAGAGGGAAGUGGAAUUCCCGGUGUAGUGGUGAAAUGCGUAGAUAUCGGGAGGAACACCAGUGGCGAAGGCGACUUCCUGGCCUGUUCUGACGCUGAGGAGCGAAAGUGUGGGGAGCGAACAGG